rnacentral:rRNA from 1 species
AUUGAACGCUGGCGGCAGGCUUAACACAUGCAAGUCGAGCGGGGUGAUGGUGCUUGCACUAUCACUUAGCGGCGGACGGGUGAGUAAUGCUUAGGAAUCUGCCUAUUAGUGGGGGACAACAUCUCGAAAGGGAUGCUAAUACCGCAUACGUCCUACGAGAGAAAGCAGGGGAUCACUUGUGACCUUGCGCUAAUAGAUGAGCCUAAGUCGGAUUAGCUAGUUGGUGGGGUAAAGGCCUACGAAGGCGACGAUCUGUAGCGGGUCUGAGAGGAUGAUCCGCCACACUGGGACUGAGACACGGCCCAGACUCCUACGGGAGGCAGCAGUGGGGAAUAUUGGACAAUGGGGGGAACCCUGAUCCAGCCAUGCCGCGUGUGUGAAGAAGGCCUUAUGGUUGUAAAGCACUUUAAGCGAGGAGGAGGCUCUUUUGGUUAAUACCCAAGAUGAGUGGACGUUACUCGCAGAAUAAGCACCGGCUAACUCUGUGCCAGCCGCCGCUGUAA